GGGGGCGACUUGGUUUCGACGAUGUGAGUCGCGACAGGGGAAGCGGGCCGAGAAUGUAGAGUCAUCUCGUUAACGUUCUCUGCAAACUAAUAAGUGCCGAAUCUAAGCGCACUGACUUCGCUCUCGCUGCCUAAUUGCAGUGACCGAGUCCGUCAGCCCGGGGUUGCUAUCGCUCCGGUUGUCUGACGUCAGCUAGAUAGCCACUGGUGGGCACGCUUGCCGUGAGCGUGUCCGCGACACUUUUAGCGGCUGAGUCCACAGGGUAACCACAGGCCACUUGCACUGGUGAUGGUCUCUGGGACUGAGAAGCCCUGAAACAGUGCUGCGCCCGGAGAAGUCCUGGCAACACCACAUCGGACGCGAGUUCGAUUCUCGCCGCCUCCACCA
rnacentral:tmRNA from 1 species